CAGCCCUUCAUCUCAAAGGCUCCCAGCUGUAUUUCAGAAACCUUUUGGAACUGGUUGGCUUUCACUUUGUGAGCAGGGAUAUCCUGCCCUGUUUGCUCAGGAUCCCUCAUGCCUUUCACCUUCCUGGCAGAGCUGAUUUAGAUGCAGUUGCCACCUUGGGCCCAACGUUCUGGGCGAUGCCUCUUAAACCUACCAACGGCCAGGCCUCAGACGACGCUGAAG